GAUGAACGCUGGCGGCGUGCCUAAUACAUGCAAGUCGAGCGAACGGACGAGAAGCUUGCUUUUCUGAUGUUAGCGGCGGACGGGUGAGUAGCACGUGGAUAACCUACCUAUAAGACUGGGAUAACUUCGGGAAACCGGAGCUAAUACCGGAUAAUAUUUUGAACCGCAUGGUUCAAAAGUGAAAGACGGUCUUGCUGUCACUUAUAGAUGGAUCCGCGCUGCAUUAGCUAGUUGGUAAGGUAACGGCUUACCAAGGCAACGAUGCAUAGCCGACCUGAGAGGGUGAUCGGCCACACUGGAACUGAGACACGGUCCAGACUCCUACGGGAGGCAGCAGUAGGGAAUCUUCCGCAAUGGGCGAAAGCCUGACGGAGCAACGCCGCGUGAGUGAUGAAGGUCUUCGGAUCGUAAAACUCUGUUAUUAGGGAAGAACAUAUGUGUAAGUAACUGUGCACAUCUUGACGGUACCUAAUCAGAAAGCCACGGCUAACUACGUG
rnacentral:rRNA from 1 species